UACGUAGGCAGCGAGCGUUGUUCGGAGUUACUGGGCGUAAAGGGUGUGUAGGCGGUUGUUUAAGUUUGGUGUGAAAUCUCCCGGCUCAACUGGGAGGGUGCGCCGAAUACUGAAUGACUUGGAGUGCGGGAGAGGUGAGUGGAAUUCCUGGUGUAGCGGUGAAAUGCGUAGAUAUCAGGAGGAACACCGGUGGUGUAGACGGCUCACUGGACCGUAACUGACGCUGAGGCGCGAAAGCCAGGGGAGCGAACGGG
rnacentral:rRNA from 1 species